rnacentral:rRNA from 1 species
CACGUAGGUGGAUUGGUAAGUUAGGGGUGAAAUCCCGGAGCUCAACUCCGGAACUGCCUUUGAUACUGCCAGUCUAGAGUUUGGAAGAGGUAAGUGGAAUUCCGAGUGUAGAGGUGAAAUUCGUAGAUAUUCGGAGGAACACCAGUGGCGAAGGCGGCUUACUGGUCCAAUACUGACACUGAGGUGCGAAAGCGUGGGGAGCAAACA